UUUUGCAGCUCAUAAGAAAGCAAUUGAACUGAAUCCUAAAGAUGCUACUUCAAUUCACCUUAUGGGUAUUUGGUGCUAUACAUUUGCCGAAAUGCCUUGGUAUCAAAGAAGAAUUGCUAAAAUGCUGUUUGCAACUCCUCCUACUUCCACCUAUGAGAAGGUAGUACGAUGUCCUUUAAAUUAGUACCGAUUUCUUAACCACAGCGCCAUUCUACCGUGUGUUCACAAAUGUGGAGCUCUGAUUCAGUGAGGGAU
rnacentral:sRNA from 1 species